AAUGCAGUUACACACACACACACACACACACACACACGACAUACACACACACAAAUCUGUCAUUCUCUGGUUCACUCCCCAAAUGGGCGCAAUGGUCAGGUUGGGCCAGGGGAAGCCGGGAGCCUGGGACUCCAUCGAGGUCUCCCAUUGGGUAGUGGGGCUCCAAGUACUUGGGCCAGCUUCUACUCUUCCAGGAGCAACAGCAGGGAGCUGGAUCUGAAAUGGAGCAGCAGGGACGGGAAUGGGGCUCAGAGGAGCUGCAGGACCUCAGGCAGCGGCUUCACCCGCUGUUCACAGUGCCGGCCACCCCACCCCACUUUCCUUUCCUCAUUCUUUCUCUUUCUUUUCUCCCUGCCCCCCACCCCGUGUGCUCCCCUCCCCCACCCCCACCCCGCCGUGCUAAGGGAGGCUCCGCCCAGGCCAGCUCCUCCCUCCUCCUCUGCUCUUGAGCCUCCUCUGCUCUGUCCUCCCAGGCAGUCCCCUGCUGGCCUUAGUACCAAGAGGACAGGGAUGAGCGGCUCCUCUCCAGCGGGCUGGGCUCCUGGACAUCCAAGCGCCAUGGGCUACUCCCAGUUACCCUGUGAUGACAUUGACACAGCCUCGUACAAGAUGCACAAGGACCUGGACAGAUUCAUUUCUGUUGCCCAAGGCCAACAUUUAAGAGGUGAACAGCUGGACGAGUCCAGUCUGGAGUCACUGGAGGAGACCAUUCCUUUGUCUUCUGACAUGCAACUGGAGUUGCGAUCUCGGGUCAAGAGGCCGUCGGGCUCUGGGCAGAGAUACGAGCAGUUAGGCGGCGAGCAGUCCAGGCAGAGCUUCUGGGAAACGCUGCGGCGGUGGUUCCGGGCAAUGCUGGGCCGGCUGCAGCAGCGCUGGCAGCGUGCGUUGGCCUGGCUGCAGGAGCUGGUGGCCGCCGGGGUGCAGGCCUUGCGCAGCGCCGUCGAGCUCGUGUGGCGCACACUGAAGCGUUUCCGCUGCUCCCUGAUGAAGUGGCUUGGGCUGCCCCUUGGGGUCUAGGGAGCUCAAAGCCCUGCGCUCCCCGCUUCUUAAAGUCUUUGAAGUGUCUACGCCUUCCUGCGCACCCUGGGCCCAUCAUUACCUCCCGCCCCCAGCCCCUUCCUGCCUGACCUGCAGAGCUGACCGGCUACUCUCGCUCUACUGCCUUAAUAAAAGAUGCUGGAAAGAAACCCA
rnacentral:lncRNA from 1 species